AGGGUUUGAUCAUGGCUCAGGAUGAACGCUGGCGGCGUGCUUAACACAUGCAAGUCGAACGAACCUUCGGGUUAGUGGCGGACGGGUGAGUAACGCGUGAGAAUCUGCCCUCAGGAGGGGGAUAACGGUUGGAAACGACCGCUAAUACCCCAUAUGCCUACUGGUGAAAUGAGUUUCGCCUGAGGAUGAGCUCGCGUCUGAUUAGCUUGUUGGUGAGGUAAUGGCUCACCAAGGCUUCGAUCAGUAGCUGGUCUGAGAGGAUGAUCAGCCACACUGGGACUGAGACACGGCCCAGACUCCUACGGGAGGCAGCAGUGGGGAAUUUUCCGCAAUGGGCGAAAGCCUGACGGAGCAACGCCGCGUGAGGGACGAAGGCCUCUGGGCUGUAAACCUCUUUUCUCAAGGAAGAAGAUAUGACGGUACUUGAGGAAUAAGCCACGGCUAAUUCCGUGCCAGCAGCCGCGGUAAUACGGGAGUGGCAAGCGUUAUCCGGAAUUAUUGGGCGUAAAGCGUCCGCAGGCGGCUUUUCAAGUCUGCUGUUAAAGCGUGGAGCUUAACUCCAUCAUGGCAGUGGAAACUGAAAGGCUUGAGUAUGGUAGGGGCAGAGGGAAUUCCCGGUGUAGCGGUGAAAUGCGUAGAUAUCGGGAAGAACACCAGUGGCGAAGGCGCUCUGCUGGGCCAUUACUGACGCUCAUGGACGAAAGCCAGGGGAGCGAAAGGGAUUAGAUACCCCUGUAGUCCUGGCCGUAAACGAUGAACACUAGGUGUCGGGGGAAUCGACCCCUUCGGUGUCGUAGCUAACGCGUUAAGUGUUCCGCCUGGGGAGUACGCACGCAAGUGUGAAACUCAAAGGAAUUGACGGGGGCCCGCACAAGCGGUGGAGUAUGUGGUUUAAUUCGAUGCAACGCGAAGAACCUUACCAGGGUUUGACAUCCUGCGAACCUCUUAGAAAUUUGAGGGUGCCUUCGGGAAUGCAGUGACAGGUGGUGCAUGGCUGUCGUCAGCUCGUGUCGUGAGAUGUUGGGUUAAGUCCCGCAACGAGCGCAACCCACGUUUUUAGUUGCCAGCAUUUAGUUGGGCACUCUAGAAAGACCGCCGGUGAUAAACCGGAGGAAGGUGUGGAUGACGUCAAGUCAUCAUGCCCCUUACACCCUGGGCUACACACGUACUACAAUGCUACGGACAAAGGGCAGCAAACUCGCGAGAGCUAGCAAAUCCCAUAAACCGUGGCUCAGUUCAGAUCGUAGGCUGCAACUCGCCUACGUGAAGUAGGAAUCGCUAGUAAUCGCAGGUCAGCAUACUGCGGUGAAUACGUUCCCGGGCCUUGUACACACCGCCCGUCACACCAUGGAAGUUGGCCAUGCCCGAAGUCGUUACUCCAACCCUUGUGGAGGAGGACGCCGAAGGUGGGGCUAAUGACUGGGGUGAAGUCAUAACAAGGUAACCGUA
rnacentral:rRNA from 1 species